rnacentral:lncRNA from 1 species
GCCCAUCUUCCAUAGAUGUCUCCAACUCUUCAUGAAUGUGCUAGGUCAUGGUAAGGGGUAUGUCAUCACGUAACCUACCAUCAAACAACCUGUUUACUAAAACAGGGAGGUACAAGUUAUCUUGUUAUCUUAGUAUAAUGACUUAUCUUCCCUACUCCUUAAGGACUUACAAGUAAAAACUUUGAUGCAUCCCACACCGAGCAUUAUACUCAACAACAAGCCAAAAAACUACGGGCCAAACAUCAUUUCCUUCCCCAUUACCUCACAUAGGCGAGAAGGUGCAUCACUCAAACUCUCAUUUUCCC